rnacentral:misc_RNA from 1 species
UUAGUUCUGUCCUGGGGGCUACUUCCACUGGAGAGGGACCUGGGGAGGUGACCAUACGGCCACUCCGUCCCCCACAGAGGGCCCGGCUCCUGGAGAAGUGGAUCCGCGUGGCAGAGGAGUGCCGGCUGCUCCGAAACUUCUCUUCAGUUUAUGCCGUGGUGUCAGCCCUGCAGUCCAGCCCCAUCCACAGGCUUCGGGCAGCCUGGGGGGAAGCAACCAGGGACAGCCUCAGAGUCUUUUCCAGCCUCUGCCAGAUUUUCUCCGAGGAGGAUAAUUAUUCCCAGAGUCGGGAGCUGCUCGUGCAGGAGGUGAAGCUGCAGUCUCCUCUGGAGCCACACUCCAAGAAGGCCCCGAGGUCUGGCUCCCGGGGUGGGGGUGUGGUCCCAUACCUUGGCACCUUCCUGAAGGACCUUGUGAUGCUGGAUGCAGCCUCCAAGGAUGAGUUGGAGAAUGGAUACAUCAAUUUUGACAAGCGGAGGAAGGUGAGCGGAGUGUCUGGGCUGGAUGCUGGACUUCCCUAUCCAUGUUCCAGGAAGGGGAGGGGGAAAAGUCAGGGGUCCCUGAGUUUUGGCUCCUGCAGUUUGAGGGCUCCUUCCCAGGAGUUUGCAGUCCUUUCUGAGUUGCGACGGCUCCAGAAUGAAUGUCGUGGCUAUAACCUCCAACCUGACCAUGAUAUCCAGAGGUGGCUACAGGGGCUCCGGCCACUGACAGAGGCUCAGAGCCAUCGUGUAUCCUGUGAGGUGGAGCCACCUGGUUCCAGUGACCCUCCUGCCCCACGGGUGCUUCGGCCAACAUUGGUCAUCUCGCAGUGGACAGAGGUUUUGGGCUCUGUUGGGGUCCCUACCCCGCUUGUGUCCUGUGACCGGCCCAGUACUGGGGGAGAUGAGGCGCCUACAACUCCUGCUCCUCUGCUGACUCGGCUGGCCCAGCACAUGAAGUGGCCAUCUGUCUCGUCACUAGACUCUGCCUUGGAAAGCAGUCCAUCCCUGCACAGUCCAGCUGACCCCAGCCACCUCUCCCCACCAGCCUCCUCCCCUAGGCCUUCUCGAGGUCACCGCCGCUCAGCCUCCUGUGGCUCCCCGCUGAGUGGGGGUGCAGAAGAGGCCUCCGGGGGGACUGGAUAUGGGGGAGAGGGAUCUGG